rnacentral:rRNA from 1 species
CUACGGGUCGCAGCAGGCGAGAAAACUUUGCAAUGUGCGAAAGCACGACAAGGUUAAUCCGAGUGGUUUGUGCUAAACGAACCUUUUGACGGUCCUAGAAACACUGUUGAAUAAGGGGUGGGCAAGUUCUGGUGUCAGCCGCCGCGGUAAAACCAGCACCUCAAGUGGUCAGGAUGAUUAUUGGGCCUACAGCAUCCGUAGCCGGCUCUGUAAGUUUUCGGUUAAAUCUGUACGCUCAACGUACAGGCUGCCGGGAAUACUGCAGAGCUAGGGAGUGGGAGAGGUAGACGGUACUCGGUAGGAAGGGGUAAAAUCCUUUGAUCUAUUGAUGACCACCUGUGGCGAAGGCGGUCUACCAGAACACGUCCGACGGUGAGGGAUGAAAGCUGGGGGAGCAAACCGGAUUAGAUACCCGAGUAGUC